rnacentral:rRNA from 1 species
UACGGAGGGGGCUAGCGUUGUUCGGAAUUACUGGGCGUAAAGCGUGCGCAGGCGGUUCGCUAAGACCGAUGUGAAAUCCCCGGGCUUAACCUGGGAACUGCAUUGGUGACUGGCGGGCUAGAGUGUGGCAGAGGGGGGUAGAAUUCCACGUGUAGCAGUGAAAUGCGUAGAUAUGCGGAGGAACACCGAUGGCGAAGGCAAUCCCCUGGGCCUGCACUGACGCUCAUGCACGAAAGCGUGGGGAGCAAACAGG